rfam:Clostridiales bacterium 41_21_two_genomes Ley3_66761_scaffold_672, whole genome shotgun sequence.
GAAAUCCUGUCAAAUAAGCUGCUAACCAUAGCAUUUGAAGCGAAUCUUGAGUGUGUUACAGUAAUGUAAUGGGCUAAGCGUAGACAGCAAGGUUGCAGGGACAGCAAUUGAGCGCCGAAAUACCAUAAAUCGGAGUGCCGACUCUGUGGUCUGAGGGGAAGGCAACAUCAUUGCGUGCCAGACCU